rnacentral:rRNA from 1 species
UGAGGAAUAUUGGUCAAUGGGCGGGAGCCUGAACCAGCCAAGCCGCGUGGAGGAAGAAGGUACAGAGUAUCGUAAACUCCUUUUGUCAGGGGAUAAAAGACGGGACGUGUCCCGUCCUGCAGGUACCUGAAGAAAAAGCAUCGGCUAACUCCGUGCCAGCAGCCGCGGUAAUACGGAGGAUGCGAGCGUUAUCCGGAUUUAUUGGGUUUAAAGGGUGCGUAGGCCGUGCCUUAAGUCAGCGGUGAAAGCCCGGGGCUCAACCCCGGCGAGCCGUUGAUACUGGGGCGCUGGAGAGGAAGAGAGGCAUGCGGAAUUCGCGGUGUAGCGGUGAAAUGCUUAGAUAUCGCGAAGAACUCCGAUUGCGAAGGCAGCAUGCCGGCUUCUUUCUGACGCUGAGGCACGAAAGCGUGGGGAUCGAACAGG